CGGCAUUAAUCCAUUCAGGUGAUAUUAAUGGCCUUUUCCUGCCAGGAACUCCAGUGGGCACUCAGGAAGCCAGGAUUACAGGGCUCUAUCCAGUCACCGCAUGUCUCGGCAUUCGGGAAGCCUAUCUCAGUCUCCUCAAAUUCUGCACACAUAAAACUUCAGAGCCUGGGAGCGACCCAUGAAACGCAGGUUUUUAAGGACAAAACAAUAGGACAAAAGUGCUGUAUAUUGUCCUUAAGAUGACACAUGAAUUUAAAAUGCAUAGUGUUUGGAUUAUUCAUGAGAGCCCCGCAAGAACGAUGUCCCAGGGGUUUUUGCCAGGAACAUGCCUGAGAUUGUAGAUAAGAAUCAAGCAUCUGGGGCUGCCGCACAAUGGAAAACUCCAGCACUCCAUGGAACUUUUCCAUCUGCAGCAGUCGGAGGAUUUGCCUGAGAACAUACGCGGCAUGAAGACACUCUCAGCCCUCAAGGGCACCCAGUCAGCGCUGUUUAAGGACGGUUUUUCUGUUCACAGCAUACUUCAUGAUUACAGCUUCACUCCAUUGGAUACAACUAUUUACUGAGCAUCUCCUGACACCAGAGAGGACGCAACAAAAAUCACAACUCCUAGAACUGCACAGUCUAAAUGGCAACCACUAGCCCCUGUGACAACUGAUCACUUGAAAAAGGCUUCAUUCAAAUCAAAUUGGAAGAGAAGUCCAGAUUACCCAACUACAAUUACCUGAGCAAAAAUCCCCUCAAUUAUCUUGGUAAUCCAGAUAAAUUCGGAGUACAAAGGUGAGUUGCCUGGAUAGCACUGGCUAAGAACUGCUUUGUCUCCCAUUUCACCUUGCAUUAUUAUAAUCUACUUGAUUACACUUCAUUUAUAACAAUAGGGAGGGCUUGUUUUAUGCCACACAUUGCCACUUGCUCAAGUGUAAAAUAAACCUUAAAUGACUGAUGUACUGCUAAAUUUAUCUCAAAAAACAAUCAUAACAGGAAUCUUAAGGCAAUAAAGUCAAACAAAUAGAAUUUUACAGAAUUUAAAAAUUAUUUUGUGAGUGAUUUAUGCUAAAAUACCUCAAAUUUAUUUCAAAAACAGUCUUACUUAAAACUGACUUAAAAUAUAUGUAGGAUAAAUAAUUUGUAGUGAAUUUAACGAAACUUCAGCAAUUCAAAUGAAUGCACAUUAUUCUUCUUAAAAACAGAUAUCCUGAAAAUAUCCAUCAGGAUAAAUAGCUAAUGCAUGUGUGGCCUAAUAUCUAGGUGAUGGGUUGAUAGGUGCAGGGAACCACCAUGGCACAUGUUUACCUGUGUAACAAACCUGCACAUCCGGCACAUAUAUCCUGGAACGUAAAAUUAAAUUAAAUUUUUAAAAAGCAGAUAUUUGGAAAGUACCAAUAGCUUCAAAGUAAAAAUACUCUACACUGUUUUUGUUUGUUUGUUUAUUUUCGUUUUUGUUUUUCUUUUUUGAG
rnacentral:lncRNA from 1 species